GAGUUUGAUCGUGGCUCAGAGCGAACGCUGGCGGCAGGCCUAACACAUGCAAGUCGAACGCACCUUCGGGUGAGUGGCGGACGGGUGAGUAACACGUGGGAACGUGCCCUUUGGUACGGAACAACUCAGGGAAACUUGAGCUAAUACCGUAUGUGCCCUACGGGGGAAAGAUUUAUCGCCAUUGGAGCGGCCCGCGUCUGAUUAGCUAGUUGGUGAGGUAAAGGCUCACCAAGGCGACGAUCAGUAGCUGGUCUGAGAGGAUGAUCAGCCACACUGGGACUGAGACACGGCCCAGACUCCUACGGGAGGCAGCAGUGGGGAAUCUUGCGCAAUGGGCGAAAGCCUGACGCAGCCAUGCCGCGUGAAUGAUGAAGGUCUUAGGAUUGUAAAAUUCUUUUCACCGGGGACGAUAAUGACGGUACCCGGAGAAUAAGCCCCGGCUAACUCCGUGCCAGCAGCCGCAGUAAU
rnacentral:rRNA from 1 species